AGACGUGGACAUCCCUAACACCACAUCGCAGUUAAAGCUCUCUGGUGACAGUGAUAGCUGUCAUCCAGUUUGACGCAAGUUAACUCGCGAUCAUAGUCACUUCCUUUCUAACCGCGAAAAUGUAGCACGCCUAUUCAUUGUACCUCGUUAUUAAAUAAAUAGUUUUAAUCUGUUUUAAGCACGGUUCGUGUUUUAUUUAUCGGUUACCUCGCCUACCACGAAUCGUAACAGUGGCGACGAGUAGUUAAACGCGGAAUUAUAUUAUUCUUUGCAAUUCCGUCAAUCACGUGUAUCAGAAGACGGGGUUCAGCUGAACAUAACCCCAAAGGAAGCAGCCGACACCGGGAGACAAUCAGUUCCAACGGUUUUUGCAAGCAGCAGCAGACCAACAGUAUCCCGGAAUGCAGCAGAAUAAUUUGCACAACACUCCGAAUCCAGCCAGUCAGCCCGCUCCGGAUAAUGCAUACGCCCAGUUCUUCCAGCAAUUAGUGCAGCAGCAGCAACUCUUUAUGCAGCAGCAACAGCAGCAGCAACAGCAGCAGCUAAUGCACCAGCAGCAGCUAAUGCACCAGCAGCAGGAUUUCUUUCGGAACAUUAUGUCGUCUAUUCAUGUUCAGGUUCCACCAAACCCUGAAAUGAUUCUCGACUCGCUAGCGAAUAACAUCAAGGAAUUUCGCUACAGUCCGGAAGACAACAUCACCUUCGCUGCCUGGUAUGCUCGGUAUGAUGAUCUUUUCGAAAAAGAUGCAGCGCGAUUAGACGAGGAAGCAAAAGUUCGCUUGCUAAUGCGAAAAAUGGGAACGGCAGAACAUGAACGUUACAUCAGUUUCAUUUUUGCCUAAAGCUCCGAAGGACUUUCCAUUCGCAACAACAGUCGCAAAAUUGAAAUCGCUUUUCGGUGCGGCUGAAUCUAUCAUCAGUAAACGCUAUCGCUGCCUGAAGGUAUCAAAACAACCUUCCGAAGACUACGUCACAUAUGCAUGUCGGAUAAACAAAACCUGCGUUGAAUUCGAGCUCAGCAAACUCACCGAGGAGCAGUUCAAGUGUCUUAUGUUUGUUUGCGGACUAAAAUCAGAGGGAGAUAGUGAGGUACGUACACGACUGCUUCCCAAAAUUGAGGAGCGCAGCGAUGGCACCUUGGAACAUCUUUCGGAAGACUGCCAAUGUUUAUUGUGUUUAAAACGGGACACAGCAAUGAUAGAAUCUGUACCAUCAUCAUCAGUGCAGUAUAUCAACCGUAAGCAGCAGUUUCCAAAUCGCUCGUCGAGACUCCCAGCAGGAAACAAUACGAACAAAAAUAAAAAUCUACCAGCUACACCUUGUUGGUGUUGUGGUGAAAUGCACUUCGUCAGAGAUUGUCUCCACAAACAACACAAGUGCAAUGAUUGUGGUACAAUUGGGCACCGCGAAGGUUAUUGUUCAAGUGCGAAGCCAGGGGGAAUCUAUCUGUCAAAUAUCGUGUAACCGUGACCAGCAUAUUUGGCAACAAGGCGUCCGGUUGUUUUGGUUUUUGUCGUUUUGAUUGAAGUUAAAUUCAGUAGAAUUGUAACGUUCUUUUUUAACCAAACUCUUGAAAUCGCGGAAAACUUUUAUUCAUACUGCGUUGCGUAGUGAAAUUUGGUGGCAGCAGCCUGCAAUUAGCUGAAAAUCAUGAACUUUCCUCGCCACACAGGAAAUCUUUUAAACGUCAUGGACCAACAAACUUCAUGAACCAGAGUUGAUCUGCGAUAACGCACACAUAUAUGAAUUUUGACAGCAGUAAAUCCCCCCUGUGCGAAACGAAGUCCAAAAGCAGCGCACCAUAAAAAAAGACCAUCAGAAAACUUCAAAACAAAUACGGUAAGCUUGUCAGUGAAUGCAGUAAACAGCAAGCGAUACUACGUUCAGUCCCACCUAAAUGGUUUUUAAGUGCAGUUCCAGUUGGAUACUGGGUCCGACAUCAGCAUAGUUUCCAAACAAACGUGGGAGAAAAUCGGCAAACCGCCAACAUCGCCAGCUAAGGAAAAAGCAGCGACUGCAACAGGGGACCCUUUGCAGCUUCUUUUCAAGUUUGACUGCGACGUCUCCAUCAAUAACAAUCAUUGCCGAGGACAGUUUUACGUAGUGGAAAACCCAAUUCAUCUGCUUAGUGUUGACCUACUAGAUGCAUUCUCCCUGUGGACAGUACCGAUCAGUGCAUACUCUAACAAAGUUGUCAGCCUCGCAAACCCUCCGAACAGUGAUGUUAGUGUAAAACGUCAGUAUAGCCGUGAUAAUUAUGUGUAUGCAAAAAUCUUCGUUAACAAUCAAUUGUAAAAUUGUUGAACGUAUUGAUCAGGUGAUGUACAAUGUUUGGAUUAACGAUCGCAAGCUGAAACGAUCUCAUGUGAACCAAAUUCGUGUACGUAGCACACACACUCAGCCAGUAGCAGCUAAAACCAGCCAGUUACCACUGAGUAUCCUGCAAGACGGUUGGAAUAUUGAUAUUCUCGCUGCCGUUAAUCCAUCUGCACAGUCUACACCUGUAAGCUCAAGGUCAGCAUGUACACUCGUCGAGUCACCAAUCGUUCCUGUUUCCCCGACAUCGCCUUCGUCUUCAAACUCGUCAUUCGAAUUCAUAUCUGCAACCGAAGCCGAAUCAGCUGAUUGAUCCUCGUCGCUCUUCCCGUACACGAAGGGCCCCGCAACGGUUCAACCCUUACCAGCUGUAUUAGAGGCGAGAUGUUGGAGACGUGGACAUCCCAACACCCCAUCGCAGUUAAAGCUCUCUGGUGACAGUGAUAGCUGUCAUCCAGUUUGACGCAAGUUAACUCGCGAUCAUAGUCACUUCCUUUCUAACCGCGAAAAUGUAGCACGCAUAUUCAUUGUACCUCGUUAUUAAAUAAAUAGUUUUAAUCUGUUUUAAGUACGGUUCGUGUUUCAUUUAUCGGUUACCUCGCCUACCACGAAUCGUAACUGUGGUGGAUAUCGCGUGCGGCCGAUUGCUGAUUGAUGGCAAAAGGAGGAAAAGAGGCUCCGAAAGAGAGAAGAGAUGGUUAGAUAGAAUAUAAGGAAGUGGGAGGCAAGGAUUGUGAGAAUAAAAAUUUGUUAUUAGCCAAAUACGUGUUUACAUCGGCAUUUCAAGCAUUUCCAAAUAACCCGCGAAAAUCAAGGAUAAGCGUGCCAACCCUGAGGCAUUUUCCAGAGAGUCUCACCAACGCUCACAGUUGGGACUACUGGCAUCUUACAGCAGGAUGUUCAACAUUGACCUUGAGGGUGUAAUCUGACGAGCGGGCAUCGAAACAAGAGGCACGAUUUUCAGAAAAGAUAGUCAACUCAUAGACUUCGCAGACGACCUGGACAUUAUUACGAGAAACUCAGCGACGGCGGAGGCAAUCUAUGCCAGACUUAAAGUGGAAGCUAGAAGAGAUGGACUAGAAAUAAAUGCGUCGAAAACCAGGUAUAUGAAAGGAAGAGGCUCGAAAAAAAACCCUUCCACGGACGGUUAAUAUGGACGGCGACGAACUCGAAGUGGUAGCGGGAUCUCGCAUACUUGGGAUCUCUGGUAACCGCCGACAAUAACACAAGUAAAGACGCUUCGAUCCAGGAGCAUACGCCGCCGCACGAAACUGACGAUGUAUGUACAAAACUUUAGUUAGACUCGUAGGUCUCUAUAGACUUGAAACCGUCACGCUGCUCACGGAGGACAUACGCGCACUGGCUGUAUUUGAACUGAAAGUGUUGCGGACAAUAUUUGGUGAAGUACAAACCGAACGCGGAGAGGGGGUAGGCGUAUGAACCACAAGCUGCAGGAACUACUUGAAGAGAUUCCUAUUGUGCACCUGACGAAGGUCGGGAGGCUACGAUGGGUCGGGCAUGUCGCGAGGAUGCCAGACGACAGUGCGGUAAAAUCGGUUCUUUUCAAGGACCUCACUGGCACCAGGAAUAGAGGGGCCCAACGUGCUGUAUGGUUUGACCAGGCUGAAGCGGAUCUGCGAGUAUCGAGAGGUUUAGGAAAUUGGCGACGUGUAGCCUAGGACCGAGUAGAAUGCCACUCCGGCUCUAGGCUGCUGAAGUAAGCAUUGUUUCCUUAUGAGAAAAAAUACUGAUCAAAAAUACUGAUCAAACGAAAAUUGGCUUGAUAAGUGAUACGGAACAUCUGCUCCAACUAAUUCAAACAUAGAAUAUCGGAAUGUUCAAUUUCGUCGUGACCUCUACAACAAAUGCUUCACACUCAGGAAAAUCAAUGAGGACGAAAAAUAUUCAUAAAAUUUGUAAAAUCGUGCUGAAUUACCGUAAAACUAAAUUGGGUGAGCUCACUAAGACCUUAGACAUCUUAAAGGAAGGAAUUUUUGCGGCGAUUCGUAAGCUUGCCUGAUGAUAGUCGUCCGAGGUACCCAAAAAACGCAAUAAUCAACCGGUAAGGUACUGGAUCGAUUGAACUGAAUCAAACAGGAAGCGACCGCAAAUUGCGAAAGAAAAAAUGCUCCUUCAUCAAGACGACGCUUCCUGUUCUUAUCGCGAAUAGAAGAUAACAACGAAAUCAAAGGAAUUGCACUACAAGCUGGGUCUCCUUCCUUCUUAUUCGCCUAUUUAUACCCGAACGACUAUUUCCUGUUUUCCUAGUUAAAAAUGUGGAGUUAGAAGACCGCUACAAUAAGUGCAUUACUGUCGGAUUAGUGCAAUAAGUGGAUUAGGGGCCGUUCAAUAAUUACGGAUGGGCGAAAGGGCUCUGUUGGGAGCACUGCACUGAGCACAACGGCCGAGGAGCGCGUUCCCAGCGCCCCGUCAAUGUCAGGAAAUAUGAGACGAUAAAAAUGGUAAACAAACAACAUAGGCGAAAAAAUACAGUUUAGGAGGAAGUUAAAGCGAGAUUUAGAAAUAGAAGAAGAUUAUAAAGAGUGGAUAAAACGUGGUUGAUCGAGACAGUCGAAGAGCAUCUAGCUGACGGUGGUUGGAUUUAUUUGAUUAGGUGAGGGUGUAUUUGAUAAUUAGCUUAAGUAGUACGGAACAGGGUUAAAUAAAUAUAAUAUAUGGGUUAAAACUUACAGCUAAAUUAGGAGAUAAAAGCGACAGAAAAGUUAAAAUUAACAUUAAAGUGCAGCACAGAGCACGUGAGUAAUAAAUAAAACAUAAAAAAUACUUGUGAUUUCUAAAACCAGACUUAAACUAGGAUUAACAAUUAACCGUUGAUGCGAAAGGCGUAAAAAAGGCUAAAUCUGCA